GCCUUUCCUGAGGUUGGGGAGGGUGUCUGCAGAAGGAGGCUGGAGACUGCUGUAGAAUCACUACUACUGGUGACAUCGUUGUUCUUCUCUGACCUGACCCCUGAGUUGGUCAGACUUGGCCAUGUGGACAACCCCCUGCUUCUCCCACUCUCUGCUGCCCUAACCUGAGACUGGUUAUUCAAGUGUCUUCCUCACUGUCUCCCCCAAACAGGAAGUAUUUUUUGAUGCUCUUGCAUCUGGGGCUGACCCAACACUGCUCAUCCCAUGUGGUCAUUGCUGGCUUACAGGUCAGUCUGGCCCUUGCAUUCGAUGUUCUGUAAGGACUGGCUCUGAGAAGGAAACAGGAAGUGGCAGAUGGAAGGGUGG
rnacentral:lncRNA from 1 species